rnacentral:rRNA from 2 species
GAGCACUGUUUCGGCUAGGGGGCCAUCCCGGCUUACCAACCCGAUGCAAACUGCGAAUACCGGAGAAUGUUAUCACGGGAGACACACGGCGGGUGCUAACGUCCGUCGUGAAGAGGGAAACAACCCAGACCGCCAGCUAAGGUCCCAAAGUCAUGGUUAAGUGGGAAACGAUGUGGGAAGGCCCAGACAGCCAGGAUGUUGGCUUAGAAGCAGCCAUCAUUUAAAGAAAGCGUAAUAGCUCACUGGUCGAGUCGGCCUGCGCGGAAGAUGUAACGGGGCUAAACCAUGCACCGAAGCUGCGGCAGCGACGCUGAUGCGUUGUUGGGUAGGGGAGCGUUCUGUAAGCCUGCGAAGGUGGCCUGUGAGGGUUGCUGGAGGUAUCAGAAGUGCGAAUGCUGACAUAAGUAACGAUAAAGCGGGUGAAAAGCCCGCUCGCCGGAAGACCAAGGGUUCCUGUCCAACGUUAAUCGGGGCAGGGUGAGUCGACCCCUAAGGCGAGGCCGAAAGGCGUAGUCGAUGGGAAACGGGUUAAUAUUCCCGUACUUGGUGUUACUGCGAAGGGGGGACGGAGAAGGCUAUGUUGGCCGGGCGACGGUUGUCCCGGUUUAAGCGUGUAGGUGUGUGUUCCAGGUAAAUCCGGUUCACUUUAACACUGAGGCGUGAUGACGAGGCACUACGGUGCUGAAGCAACAAAUGCCCUGCUUCCAGGAAAAGCCUCUAAGCAUCAGGUAACAUCAAAUCGUACCCCAAACCGACACAGGUGGUCAGGUAGAGAAUACCAAGGCGCUUGAGAGAACUCGGGUGAAGGAACUAGGCAAAAUGGUGCCGUAACUUCGGGAGAAGGCACGCUGACACGUAGGUGAAGUGAUUUACUCAUGGAGCUGAAGUCAGUCGAAGAUACCAGCUGGCUGCAACUGUUUAUUAAAAACACAGCACUGUGCAAACACGAAAGUGGACGUAUACGGUGUGACGCCUGCCCGGUGCCGGAAGGUUAAUUGAUGGGGUCAGCGCAAGCGAAGCUCCUGAUCGAAGCCCCGGUAAACGGCGGCCGUAACUAUAACGGUCCUAAGGUAGCGAAAUUCCUUGUCGGGUAAGUUCCGACCUGCACGAAUGGCGUAAUGAUGGCCAGGCUGUCUCCACCCGAGACUCAGUGAAAUUGAACUCGCUGUGAAGAUGCAGUGUACCCGCGGCAAGACGGAAAGACCCCGUGAACCUUUACUAUAGCUUGACACUGAACAUUGAGCCUUGAUGUGUAGGAUAGGUGGGAGGCUUUGAAGUGUGGACGCCAGUCUGCAUGGAGCCGGCCUUGAAAUACCACCCUUUAAUGUUUGAUGUUCUAACGUGGACCCGUGAUCCGGGUUGCGGACAGUGUCUGGUGGGUAGUUUGACUGGGGCGGUCUCCUCCUAAAGAGUAACGGAGGAGCACGAAGGUUGGCUAAUCCUGGUCGGACAUCAGGAGGUUAGUGCAAUGGCAUAAGCCAGCUUGACUGCGAGCGUGACGGCGCGAGCAGGUGCGAAAGCAGGUCAUAGUGAUCCGGUGGUUCUGAAUGGAAGGGCCAUCGCUCAACGGAUAAAAGGUACUCCGGGGAUAACAGGCUGAUACCGCCCAAGAGUUCAUAUCGACGGCGGUGUUUGGCACCUCGAUGUCGGCUCAUCACAUCCUGGGGCUGAAGUAGGUCCCAAGGGUAUGGCUGUUCGCCAUUUAAAGUGGUACGCGAGCUGGGUUUAGAACGUCGUGAGACAGUUCGGUCCCUAUCUGCCGUGGGCGCUGGAGAACUGAGGGGGGCUGCUCCUAGUACGAGAGGACCGGAGUGGACGCAUCACUGGUGUUCGGGUUGUCAUGCCAAUGGCACUGCCCGGUAGCUAAAUGCGGAAGAGAUAAGUGCUGAAAGCAUCUAAGCACGAAACUUGCCCCGAGAUGAGUUCUCCCUGAGACUUAGAGUCUCCUGAAGGAACGUUGAAGACGACGACGUUGAUAGGCCGGGUGUGUAAGCGCAGCGAUGCGUUGAGCUAACCGGUACUAAUGAACCGUGAGGCUUAACCUU